rnacentral:tRNA from 1 species
GCUGGUGUGGCUAAGUGGAUAGAGCAUCAGCCUGCGGACUGAAGGGUCCCAGGUUCAAUUCCAGUCAACGGCA